UAACUGCACUAGUAGCUCAGCGCCAGAGCGCCGGCCUUGUAAGCCGGACGCCGGAGGUUAAACCCCUCCCUA
rnacentral:tRNA from 1 species